rnacentral:lncRNA from 1 species
AGACUGUGGGGAAGAAGAAAGCGUGGAGAUGAAGGACUGGCAGCUUUAAUGAAGAGAGCGAAUCUUUCAUAGUUUAUGUGCCACCCGGGCCCCUUGCAAAAACCUGUCAGCCUCACACGCUGGCCACUGCCACAGCACAGACAGCCAACAUGGCAAAGACAACAGCUGAGAGUCAGAGCUGUUUGAGCCUAGACACAGGGACACUGUCUGUGAAGCACAAAACAUAGACUCAGAUACUGAGUCACAGACCCAAGAAGGUGCUUCAGAGACGGAGUCCCCCAGUCAGGCUCAGUGCAGACCCGGGCACAGAAAUGCUAUCUCAGAGACAUGGUCAAGGAUUCUUGAGGGUGGGUCCUGAGCCAUGGUUGCAGGUGUGAAGAGAGCCCCUCAUUCAUAAACAGACAGACAGACAGACAUGCUCAUUAACAUGUGGUGUGAGGACUGAGACAGAAUCCAGAUUUGCGAUCAUAGGUGGAGCUGGAACCAGCAACAAGCAGCAGACGCAACUCUCAGAAGCGGUCCAGACAGAGGAACAGAGGCCGCCACGGGAAGUGGAUGGGGAUCGGAGUUUUCCCUGUUGCCCCUGAAUUGCCAGCUCAGUCCACAGUUGAGGAAGAGGUCUGGGUGCCCUGCACUGUAAAGGCGGAGUUUGCCAACGGCAGGGGCCAGACAUCUGCCGCAGACCCUGGUCCUGGCUGUCAGCACUCUUGCCUGACCCUCUGCCCAUGGCUUCCUUUUCCAUGAGAGAAGAUGGGGAGGGAGAGAGGAGCCCUUGCUCCAGCUGACCGCAGUGCAGAGUGUGUGGCAAGAAGGCUUCCCUUCUGCUGUCCACUCCCUCCCCCAGAACCAUGUGAGACUUCUCCAUGGGGUGGCUAGAGACACUGGCGUCCUGGUCAUCAGGGGUGGAGGCUGCAGAGGAAGUAAGAGGGGUCUUGGGAGAAUGUGACCCUUUGAGUGUCAGGGUCUACCUGACCAUAGGGGCUGAUGCCUGCUUGUCCACUGGAGGUUUUUGAAAUCAGUGUGUUCAAAGAAGGGACCUUGGGCGAAUGCCUUUGAGGGUGAGGAUCAGACUGGGGCGGUGGCUUUUGGGUCUUUUGAGGCCAGGAAAGAAGACCUCAAUGGCUCCUGUGGCUCCCUGAGAAGGAGCAUGGAGACUGGGGUGCAGGAGCCACGGGACGGCCUUCCCUGAAGCCCUUGGAGGAGCGUUGGGCUAUGGACUCCUGCUGGGGCCAAAGGGACCUGUCCUUGGUGACAGAGAGAGCUGUGCUGACACUGGUCACACACCCAAGGAAGCUGCAGGCAAACCUACCCAACACAUGUUCCAGCCACUACCAGCGACUAAUGAAACCAGAUGGAGCCAGAGCAAAAUCAGGGACCCCUGCCUCCACCGCCACAGCUGACCAGUCCUGUGAGAGGACCCCAGCCGUCUUUCCCAUCUGCCCUCCCGACAAGAGAUGAGAGAAGAGAAGGGAGGGAGGGAGAGGCCCUUCUCUUCUAGUCCCGCAGCCUGUCUGCUCCAGGUUUGAAUCAAAUGUACUCUGUGGGCUGGACCAGACUUCCAAUAACUGAGACUGACUGGGGGGCACCGGGUUCCACUCAGGAUGUCAUUAGGUGACAGGGAAGGGUUUUGACAGAGCAUGACUGAAGGCAGCCAUGGAGAAAGCGGAGCACAUUUGUGAUCAUUCAUCACCGAACUGAGACUCCUCAAUAAAUUGUGUAUGGACCUGCUGAAACGCCUCGGCAUGGCUAUACCAGUUGUUCACGCCAGGCAUUGGUUCUGACUGGUUGGUGUUGGACGAGUCCUUAAAUAUUCUGAGUAUCACCCCCAUAGUCAAGUGUAAUCACAAUGGCAGGAAACAUUUACCAAGACAGUUACAGCCAAAAUGGCUACAGGUAUAAUCAAAACAAUCCCAAUUCUAGAAACAGAUGAUAAUUAUGCCCAGACAUAACUCUGGAUCUGGAAAGUGACAAGAAAGAUCACAGAUACGGUCAGUCUUGGAGAUUCUGGCUCAGAGGCACAGGCAAGGUCCAGCGUGGGGGUUGGAACUUGGAUAAGGUGCGCGCAGACAGGUCCCACCGUCCUGGAAGAACAGCAGGAACAAAGCCUCAAAUGCAGACACACACGGACACCGUCUCAGACACAGACUCCAAACUGCCCUCGACCUUCCCUGCCUGAUGCUAUUGGAGAUGAUAUUUCAGAGGAAUGAAUCUUUUUAUAGUCUGGGUUAUAACAAAGGAAAUCCAGUGCUUUAAGUUUCGCCUCUUGUUCCUGGCUCCCUGGCUUCAUCUGAUCCCCGGGGGGCCGACACGUUUACUCCAGCAGGUAUGGCCACGUGGCGAUUUCAGAGACAAGCAGUGGGGGUGGAAGGGGCUCUAUGGAGGGGCAGGGGGCGGAGGGGAGACGUGGGGGAGGGAUGCUGUCUGUGGUUAUCAGCGCAGUCGGCGCGCUCACGCUUGUGUGAGCAGGCUCCCAGUGAGUGGGUGAUGGAGAGCUCUCAGACAGAAAGCCACCGUGCUAAAGUGGCUUCUCUCAGGAGGCCCCAUCCCUGGCUCUGCUGGGUCUGGGAACAGUGUCCUGAAGUGAUGUCAGGGCUCACUCAAACCCCAUGUUUGUCAACAGCAGUGUGUGGAGGAGUCGUCUCAACGAAGAGGUUAAUAGAGAUGCGUGGAGAAAGAUGUAAUGAGAAAGAUUCAGAAAUGCUGACCCGACAGGGAAUACAAACAUUCUUAAUACAAUAAAUAAUAUCGUAUUGGGUUCUG